rnacentral:rRNA from 1 species
CAACUUUCAGCAACGGAUCUCUUGGCUCUCGCAUCGAUGAAGAACGCAGCGAAAUGCGAUAAGUAAUGUGAAUUGCAGAAUUCAGUGAAUCAUCGAAUCUUUGAACGCACCUUGCGCCCCUUGGCUAUUCCGAGGGGUGCCUGUUUGAGUAUCAU